CAAAUGCAUCUUUAUAUUCAAAUGUAUAAGAAUCAUUUUAUUCCAUUAUCUUCCAUAUCUUCCAUCACAGAUAAGCCAAAGCUCACAGAGGUCAUUCACAACAUGACCAAUAGGUGGCAGAGUGAUGGGGGAAGCCCUGUGGCACCGACCUGCCACAGUUACCCCCCUUUCAACAGCUACAAGUGGUACAGGCUGGUUGAGGAAAGGGAGCAUUUCAUUAUCAAUCACCAGAACAUCACUGUCCACCCGGACAAGCCCGGGACAUACUACUGUGUCGCCACCAAUGACAUGGGGGGGAGGGGGGGGGGGGGGCUGUUUCUCAACCGAAGUGUCUUCCAUGUCCUCCCUCGUCCUUCGUUUCUGCUGUGUUCCGCUUGUUCUUUUACCCAUCUUUUUGGUCUACACGGCUGGCGUAAUGGCACAAGUGAGAACCUGGUGAGUGAAGGGUGUGCAGCAGCAUCAGACCCCCCGGGGAGCAGCAGAGAUCAGCUGUGA
ensembl:lncRNA